UGCAAGUCGAGCGGAUGAAGGGAGCUUGCUCCCUGAUUUAGCGGCGGACGGGUGAGUAAUGCCUAGGAAUCUGCCUGGUAGUGGGGGAUAACGUUCCGAAAGGAACGCUAAUACCGCAUACGUCCUACGGGAGAAAGCAGGGGACCUUCGGGCCUUGCGCUAUCAGAUGAGCCUAGGUCGGAUUAGCUAGUUGGUGAGGUAAUGGCUCACCAAGGCGACGAUCCGUAACUGGUCUGAGAGGAUGAUCAGUCACACUGGAACUGAGACACGGUCCAGACUCCUACGGGAGGCAGCAGUGGGGAAUAUUGGACAAUGGGCGAAAGCCUGAUCCAGCCAUGCCGCGUGUGUGAAGAAGGUCUUCGGAUUGUAAAGCACUUUAAGUUGGGAGGAAGGGCGUUUGGCUAAUAUCCAAGCGUUUUGACGUUACCGACAGAAUAAGCACCGGCUAACUUCGUGCCAGCAGCCGCGGUAAUACGAAGGGUGCAAGCGUUAAUCGGAAUUACUGGGCGUAAAGCGCGCGUAGGUGGUUCGUUAAGUUGGAUGUGAAAGCCCCGGGCUCAACCUGGGAACUGCAUCCAAAACUGGCGAGCUAGAGUACGGUAGAGGGUAGUGGAAUUUCCUGUGUAGCGGUGAAAUGCGUAGAUAUAGGAAGGAACACCAGUGGCGAAGGCGACUACCUGGACUGAUACUGACACUGAGGU
rnacentral:rRNA from 1 species